rnacentral:rRNA from 1 species
CGGCCGCGAGAGGUGAAAUUCUAAGACCGGCCGAGGUCUAACAAAAGCGAAAGCAUUUGCCAAGAAUGUUUUCAUUGAUCAAGAACGAAAGUUGGAGGAGCGAAAACGAUCAGAUACCGUUGUAGUUCCAACUUUAAACUAUGCCGGCUGUCGGGGCCAGUUCGGUACAUCCGUACUAAUUGACCUCCCAGGGAAACCUUAGCAGGGUUCUGGGGGGAGUACGGUCGCAAGUCUGAAACUUAAAGGAAUUGACGGAAGGGCACCACCAGGAGUGGAGCCUGCGGCUUAAUUUGACUCAACGCGGGGAAACUUACCCGGUCCGGACAUCGGAAGGAUUGACAGACUGAUCGCUCUUUCAUGAUACGGUGAAAGGUGGUGCAUGGCCGUUCAUAGUUGGUGGAGCGAUUUGUCUGGUUAAUUCCGUUAACGAACGAGACUUCUUCCUUCAUUUAGUAGAUUUAAUUGGGGUUUAGAUCAACUAAUUGAAGGGACUAACGCUAUUUAAAAGCGUAGGAAGUAAUCCGAUAACAGGUCUGUUAUGCCCUUAGAUGUCCGGGGCCGCACGCGGG